rnacentral:tRNA from 1 species
GGUUCUAUGGUGUAGUGGUUAGCACUGCGGACUUUGAAUCCGCCGACCUGGGUU